AUCCGGCCGACGAGUCCCAAAUAGAAGGAAACGCGUGUUAUCCUGGAU
rnacentral:hammerhead_ribozyme from 1 species